rnacentral:rRNA from 1 species
AUACGAGGGUGGCUAGCGUUGUCCGGAAUUAUUGGGUGUAAAGGGCUCGUAGGCGGGCAGGACAGUGAGGAUUUAAAUACCUCGGCUUAACCGAGGAGCUGGUCUUCAUACUUCCUGUCUUGAGUGCGGUAGAGGAGGGUGGAAUUCCUGGUGUAGCGGUGGAAUGCGUAGAUAUCAGGAGGAACACCGAUGGCGAAGGCAGCCCUCUGGGCCGGUUCUGACACUAAACUGCGAAAGCGUGGGGAGCAAACAGGAUUAGAUACCCCAGUAGUCC